rnacentral:rRNA from 1 species
UACGAAGGGGGCUAGCGUUGUUCGGAAUUACUGGGCGUAAAGCGCACGUAGGCGGACAUUUAAGUCAGGGGUGAAAUCCCAGAGCUCAACUCUGGAACUGCCUUUGAUACUGGGUGUCUUGAGUAUGGAAGAGGUGAGUGGAAUUCCGAGUGUAGAGGUGAAAUUCGUAGAUAUUCGGAGGAACACCAGUGGCGAAGGCGGCUCACUGGUCCAUUACUGACGCUGAGGUGCGAAAGCAUGGGGAGCAAACAGG